AAAAGUGGAAGCGGCGGCAUGCACAUUCAGAAACCAUCUUUCCUAUCCUUUCUUUAAAACACUUCUCAAGAAAUCUCAUUCAUUGCAUUUUUUCGGAAGAGAAACAGUCAUUUUACACACCAUUUUCCUCUUCAAACUCCCUUAUUCUACCGAUCGUGCUUGCCUUUGUGUUCAAUUUUUGUUGUUUUGGUCGACUAUCUUUUGCUACUGAGAUUCAUUGUCUUCGAACCAUCCGCCCUAUUUUUGCUCCGGUGUUCUAUCUAGGGUUUGUUUCGGGAUUACAAUUCUGGUCGGAGGCUCCUGUUGGGGAGAAAACAACAUAGUAGAGUAUUUUUCCAUUAAGGCCUGGGAAACGCGAUGUCGGCUGGAAAAUAUUGCUGAAAGAAAAUUGGUACUUCAAAGGAGUUAGUAGAGAUGUCGUCAGAUUUUUCAAAUAGAUCUCAUUAUUCAUAUGGGAGAGACAAAAGCUAGUGAAGAUUCAUUACCGUCUCGACAAAAAAGGGCUUAUGUUCCUUUUCGAAUUCGGUCUUCGUCAGCUUCGGGGGGGUAGAGAGCUCCCACUUAUGUUAAUGUCUUUGUUAAAACCUGUAUCCUUUGAUUCUAAAUGUGGUAGCUGAACUUCUUUAGCUCAAUAUCUUGAAUUCAAUGUCAAAUCUAGUGAUGAGGUGACAGAAAAGGAAAUAAGGCCUUGGUUUUUAUUUUAGUUUGUUUGGUAUUUCACCUGCCUAUUGUCUAAGGGUAUAGUGAAGGAAGCAAGUUUCAUCAGUGGUUGUAAUCACGAAUGGAGAGAAUAUCGACCUGGCUUCAUAUUUUCAUGGCAUGUUGUAUCGAGGGAUUAAUGAAUAGUUGGCAAAAGCCUCAUCGUUGGGAAUAAAAGAUAGAGGGAUGGUUGAACUUUUGUGGUUUCUUGGACUGUGAACGCGACUAUACUUCUUGGACCUGGACAUUGAACAGCUUCCGACUUACCUCAGCAAUGCAAUACUCUUGGUAGCUUCCUUCAUGAUAGUCUUCCGCUUCGAGGAGACUUUCACUCUUUUGUUAGUGAAUUGCUUCGAAUGGAUGAUCGAAAAUCGAGGUUAUUCUGCCCGUGGGUUUCUGAGCUUGAUGAGUCCUUGUUGUUGAAAUAUCCGCAAAAAGGUUAGCCAAUUGUGGGGCCGGACAUAUGGACAAGAUCUUGCUGAAAUAGAUGUAUGGUUGCACGUGCGAUCUUUAGUGGCCUCUUCCUAAAUUCUCGAUAUAAUCCGACCAUCAGUAAUGCUUAUUUCCCCUAGUUCUUUGCACGCCAAUAUUGCUUGUGGCAAGAGAUUGCAAUGAACAAUGUUCCCGUCAAGCUCCCAACAUCGGCAACUGAUGUGGUCACCGAAGAAACUGCUAAAGCUUGGUGGUCUUACCCUCUUCGAUCUCAAUGUGAGAUGCAACCCUGCUUUCAAAGAUUGGUGGGGUUUUCUUUAUAACAAGCUCACUGCUAAUGUACAUGAACUUUACCUGACUAAGUUGACUGAUGAUCAAUCUCGGGGUGACAAUAUACUUGAUGCAAAAAUUGCGACAAUUAACAGAUCAGGAUCUCCAACAAUAUCAAAAAAUUGGAUCAGCGUUUCAUCUUCUAUUGCUGCUCAUGCUUCGACACAUCAGUGAAUGCAAUAUAAACAGAUGUUUCUUCUAGCGGUAGGGAAAAAAUAACAGUUGAUGUGAAAACACUUUCAGCAGCUAAGUGUAGAUCGUCCAAGAAAAUUGUCGAUCGUAGUGAACAGACAGCUGAGAAGACCCCACCGGUAAAGGAAAAAACUGCAGCAGCCUCCGGCCAUCAUAAAUGUGCGGCCAACAAAACUCCUGAUGUUAAGGUAUUUCCAUUAUCCUAGUAGUCUCUUGAAGGAACAGCUCUACAAUCUGUUAAGUGUAGGCUUCUUUAGGUAUUUAACCGUAAUGGGCUUAAAAUUUUGGGAUCAAUUGUUAUUAACCCUAAAACUACUCUAUAAAUACCUCAUCUUGUACUUGUAAAAGAUAUGUCGCCUCAUAUUGCAGUAAUAAGAAAAAUUUCUUGGUUGCCCCCGUGGACGUAAGUCAAUAACUCUUAUCGGCCAAACCACGUAAUCCUUUGUGUUCAACUUUCUUGUUUGUGUGCAUGUGAGAGUUAAUUCCAACAAGUGGUAUCAGAGCGAGGUUGUAGGAUAGUAGAACAUACCACAAUCAGAGCAGGAUAGAACUGUGUUAGAGCAGAAUAGCAGCGUCAGACCUGUCAAACCCGUCAGCCGUCAGAUCCGUCAGUUGUCAGACCCGUCAGCCGUUAUCCGUCAGACCCGUCAGCACAUCAGAUCCUGGAGCAGCGUCGCCCAGUCUACUCGGCAGUCUUGAUCACCGACAGUACGCUGCAGAUCCGAUCCGAGCCAUCCCAUAAAUUGAAAAAUUCGUAUUUGCAUGAUUAAAUCAUGUCUGAGGAUGGAAAUACCGAGAUUGAUUAGUUCUACAGAAAAGAUUUUGGUUGGUGGAAAGUGCAAGUCGAGGAUUUGCUUUUUUGCCAGAAGGAUCUGGAUUUGCCUUUGACAGGAAGACAACCUGAGAAAAUGAACGAUGAUGAAUGGACAAUCCUUAACAAGAAAGUCCUGUCAGUUAUCAGAUCUACGCUAGCCAAAAAUGUUGGACUCACUAUUCUGAAGGAGACUACCGCAUAUGGGUUGAUGAAGACAUUGAAAAACAUGUACGAGAAGCCAUCUGCUUCUAACAAGGUAUUUCUGAUAAGACAAUUGGUGAAUACGAGAAUGAAAGAAAGUGUGUCUGUUACUUUGCAUAUAAACGAAUUCAAUACUAUAAUAUCCCGGUUGUUGUCGGUGAAUAUUAAGUUUGACGAUGAAAUUCAGGCUUUACUCUUGUUAUCCUCAUUACUUGAAACUUGGUCAGAAAAAGUCACAGCCGUUAGUAGUUCAACAGGAAAUUCUAAACUCACUUUUGAAAGCAUUCGUGACUUGAUCAUCGAAGAGGAUAUACGAAGGCGAAACUCUGGUGAAACUUCAAGCGCCCUGUUGAGCACGGAAAGAAGAGGCAGAAAGAAAGAAAAGGGGAAUGGCAGAGGAUGAUCAAACUCAAGAAGGAGGGGUCAGUCAAAGCCAAGGAAGGACAUUUAAUGCUGGAAUUGCAAAGAGUAUGGGCAUUUCAAAAAUCAGUGCUCAAAAUCGCCAAAGCAAAAGGAGAUGAAUAUGCCACUACAGAGAGCUCAGACAAUGCACUCAUUUUCUAUGUUGAGAAUUCAACUGAGUCGUGGAUUAUGGAUUAUGGUGCAUCAUUGCAUGCUACUUUUAACAUGAAGACGAUGAAGAAUCUACGGACAUGUAACUUUGGUAAAGUUCGUUUGGCUAAUGAUGACUCUUUUGACAUCAAAGGAACGGGUGACAUAGAUCUAAAGACUCAUUCGGACACUAUCUGGACGUUAAAGGACGUUAGCGUAAUCCUUAAUCUUAAGAAAAUGCUCAUCUCCAUUGGGCAACUGGAUGAUCAGGGAUAUAAUGUCACGUUUGGAGGAGGGCAAUGGAGUGUCGUCAAAGGCAAUCUCGUAAUUGCAAGAGCCAAGAAGAAAGGUACUCUAUACAUGGCCAAUGUCUCUGAAAAUAAAGCGAAUGCAGUAACCAGCAAGCAAAGUCCGUCUGUUUUGUGGCACCAACGACUUGGCCACAUGAGCAUAAAAGGAAUAAAGAUGCUUGUCGCAAGAGGAAAGCUUCCAUAUCUAAAGAGGGUGGAUUCCGAGUUUUGUGAGCCCUGUGUGCUUGGCAAGAAAAAGAAAGUUUCUUUUGCAAAGAAGGGCAGACACUGAAAGCUCAGAAGUUGGAAUUGGAUCACUCUAAUGUCUAUGGACCAACACCAGUCUCUUCCUUUGGCGGAUCAAACUACUAUGUAACGUUCAUCGAUAAUUCAACACGAAAGGUAUAGGUCUAUUUUCUUAAAAACAAGUAUGAAGUUUUCAAUACUUUUAAGAAGUGGAAGACUUCUAUUGAAUUAGAAACUAACUUGAAGGUGAAGUGCUUGAAAUCGGAUAAUGGAGGUGAAUACAUCAGCAUAGAGUUCACCGAGUAUUGUAUUGAACACGAGAUCCGGAUGAUCAAGACUUUCCUAGGCACUCCUCAGCAGAACGGAGUGGCAGAAAUGAUGAACACUAAAGGAGAGGGCUAGAAGCUUCAGAGUGAAUGCUGGACUUCCAAAGGCAUUUUGGGCCGAUGCAGUUAACACUGUUGCCUAUCUUAUCAACCGAGGACCAUUAGUGCCAUUGGGUUUCAAGAUACACGAAGAAUAGUGGAAAGGGGAAGCAGUAAAUAUGAACACUUGAGAGUGUUUAAAUGUAGUGUUUAUGAUCUGACAAGAGAUGGUGACAAGUUAAAUGCCAAAGCUAGAAAAUACACUUUCAUUGGGUAGGGAGGAGACAAGAUGGGCUAUUGGCUAUGGGACUUUGAAAGUAAAAAAAGGUUGUCAGAAGCAAGCAUGCCCCAUUCAAUGAGGCUGAACUUUUCAAAGACAGAAGCACAGAAAGUCCCAAGUUUGUGAAAGAAUAGGUUGAGUUCGACAGUGAUGUUAUCGGAACCAGAGAGUCAGUGGGUCCUCAAGAGAAUGGGAGUCAGGAGAAUGAAUCCAGUACUGACGAGUUUAAAGGAAAUCAAGGGGACUUUGUUGACAGUGAAAGUUUGGAGGAGGAAGGACCUCCUCAUUCACCGGUGCAGCCGCAGCCAACCGAGUCCCAAUGGGUCAGGAGAUCCACUAGAGUUACCAAACCUCCAGCAAGAUAUGAUCCUAGUGUAAACUAUCUCCUCCUGACUGAAAAUGGUGAACCAGAAAGUUAUCAUGAAGCAGUUAAGCAUAAUGAUUCGAUUCAGUUGGAGCAGGCCAUGAAAGAAGAGAUGACUUCCUUGCACAAAAACAAGACAUGGAUUUUGACUAAACUUCCUUCUGAGGCUCUUCAAAAUAAAUGGUAUUCAGAAUCAAAGAUGAACCAAAUGGGUCGAAAAGGUACAAAGCUUGCUUAGUGGUUAAAGGAUUUCAGGAGAAAAAUGGAGUCGACUACACUGAAAUCUUCUCUCCAGUAGUAAGGAUGACCACUAUCAUAUUUGUUAUCAUUAUUGUAGCUGCAGAGGGCAUACAUCUAGAGCAGUUGGAUGUUAAGACAACAUUUCUACAUGGUGAUCUCGAUGAGAAAAUCUACAUUUUGCAACCUGGGGGGUUUCAGGUUGCUGACAAGGAAAAUUAGGUCUGCAAGCUUAAGAAGAGCUUACAUGGUAAAACAAGCCCCCAGGCAAUGGAACUUGAAGUUCGACAACUUCAAGAUGAGAAUGGGGUACAAGAGAUGCAAAAUGGACCAUUGUUUCUAUGUGAAGAAGUUUAAGGUUCCUACAUCAUUCUACUUCUCUACGUGGAUGAUAUAUUUAUAGUCGGUGCAGACAUGACAAAAAUCAAUAAGUUAAAGCAACAUAUGCCUGAGGCAUUUGAGAUGAAAGACUUAGGUCCAGCCAAACAGAUAAUUGGGAUGAGUAUAAUAAAAAACAAGGAUGGCACUCUGACACUAUCUCAUAAGAAGUAUAUCGGGAAAGUGUUAGAGAAGUUCAACAUGAACGGUGAGAAGACUAAGCCGAGAAACACAUCUUUAGGAAGCCACUUUAAGCUUACAAAAGAUCAGUCUCCGAGAACAGACAAAGAAAAGACAAAUGUGGCUAAAGUCCCUUAUGCAUUUGCAUUUAGUAACCUCAUGUAUGUGAUGGUGUGCACGAGACCAGACAUUGCUCAUGCAGUCGGGCUUGUUAGUCGCUACAUGUCAAAUCCGGGGAGAGAAUAUUGGGAAGCCGUCAAGUGGAUACUAAGGUAUUUGAAGGGUAGAUGAAGUUAUGUUUCAGAGGCAAAGAUGCAAUUCUCAGAGGGUAUUCUAAUGCUAAUUUGGCUGGAUGCAAAGAGACACUUGAGAGCACUACAUGGUACAUUUUCACAGUGGGAGGAACUACAGUUAGCUGGAUGUCUAAACUUCAGAAAAAUGUGGCGCUUUCGACGACAGAAGCUGAGUAUAUGGCAGUUGCUGAGACCAGGAAAGAGUUAGUUUGGCUAAAGAACUUACUCCUAGAGUUGGAUAAAAGGCAUGCAAAUUACUUAUUACACUGUGAAAGUAAGAGUGCAAUCAAACUUGUCAAGAACCCGGUUUAUCAUGGAAAAACGAAACAUAUUGGGAUGAGAUAUCAUUUUAUUAGAUAAUUGAUAAGUGAAGGGACGAUGAAGUUGAAAAAUAUCUCAGGUGCUAUGAAUCCAGAAGAUAUGUUCACAAAGACUGUGAUGCUAGACAAGCUGAAGUUAUGCAUGACUUACGCUGGUCUUCAUGAGAAAUGAUAAGAAGAUCGGGGCAAUCAACUGAAGUUGAGGAUUCUACGGAAGUACAAUGGGGCACAGAUGUUUCAAAGCCUUCAAGUGGGAGAUUGUUAAGAGUUUGGGCCCAAUUGCUAUUAACCAUAAACCUAGUCUAUAAAUAUCCCUUCUUGUACUUGUAAAAGAUGUGCCGCCUUAUAUUGCAGUAAUAAGAAAAGUUCUUGGUUGCCCCCGUGGACGUAGGUCAAUAACUCUUAUCGGUCAAACCACGUAAUCUUUUGUGUUCUACUUUUUUGUUUGUGUGCGCGUGAGAGUUAAUCCCAACACAAUCUAAUAUUCUCUUAACAAGCAGAUAGUACUUCCCAAAAUUCCUCGUGCAAGAUGUCUGUUAAUGGAUGUGGCUACAACUUCCCAGGGUACUUCAUCUCUAACCCGAAUCAAGGAGUCCGAGGCAAGGCCUAUGAUUCAGACUUUUCCCUUGCCUUCUGAAAUAGAAGAUUAUUUCUCUAGUAAAAGCAUUCCAACGAAUCCUUCAUCAUAAAUAGUGGCAAAGAUUGAUGAUGAUUUACUAGACAUUCACUUGGAGGCAGCUCCAGACAGUCCCCGAGCCUUUGAAUACAUUCAGGAUUCUUUCUUGGAAGUAGCUCAUAGGAUGGCCCGGUAUCCCCUCGAACGAGUAUCCAGCUUCAGGAUCUUGCCAAGGAAGUCGGUCGAGCGGCUGCGCAAUAGCAUCUCCUCCAAGAGGCCAAAAGCGAUGUUGAAACUAAGUUGGCUCAAUUUCAUUCCUUGGAAAAUGAAAGGGAGGACUAUGCUGGAGCUUUUUCCGAUGCUAGCCGUUGUAAGACAUUGUGUCGUUCCUACUAAGCCCUAUUGGUGGCAGAAAAUGUGUAACUGGAACAUAAGAUUUCUCGUAUGCAAAAAAGACUAGUGGAAAUUGAUUCAUCUAUAGAGUCAACAAAGAAAGAGAUUAGUGCAACAGUAAAAACUGAUUUAUAGGAACAGACACAUCAAUUAGAUCUAGAACUGGGGGAACUGCAUCAACGGCGCCUCAUCCUUGAACAAAAUUUGGAGAUUGCUCGCAAAAGUUUGAUUGAACUAGGCGAGGGAGGGCACCGGAUUGCUUCAAAGUGGACUGCCAUUCUAGAGUUAUUGCGUGCUCAAAUCCAAGAUGCUGCUUCUUUGACUAAUGUCGAUCCGGGUUUCGAAUAUGGGAUGGCUAUGCCAGGAACUUAGAAAAAUUCAAAAAUGGCAGAGAAUAUGAAUGGUCGGGUUCUGGAUCAGCCUCGACCUUUGGUUAUAGUCCUUCCCGGUAGGAGUUUCUUAUUGCAUUUACGAUUGGGCCGAGGAGCCCGGUUUCACCAUAACUAUCUGAUUAGCUCUUGUAUUCUAUCUCAUCUUUUGUUGGGAAUUUACUAGUAAUUCGCACUACUCAUAUUUGGUUACCAUAUUUGGACUCUGAUUAUCUAUGUGUAGUCAGUAUUCUAAUAUUCAAACAACUCUAUAUGGUCGUUGGUUAUUUUUAAUUGUGGAAAAGCAACUUCUGAACUUGCAUGAUUUAUGACCAUCUUUUCUCUUUUGAUUUUCA